rnacentral:tRNA from 1 species
GGAGAAGUACCCAAGAGGCUAUAAGGGGCUCCCCUGCUAAGGGAGUAGGCCGCCUAAAACGGUGCAGGGGUUCGAAUCCCCUCUUCUCCGCCA